UUGAACGCUGGCGGCAUGCUUUACACAUGCAAGUCGCACGGUAACAGGCCGCAUGGUGCUGACGAGUGGCGAACGGGUGAGUAAUGCAUCGGAACGUGCCCAGUCGUGGGGGAUAACUACUCGAAAGAGUAGCUAAUACCGCAUACGAUCUAUGGAUGAAAGCGGGGGACCGUAAGGCCUCGCGCGAUUUUAGCGGCCGAUGUCAGAUUAGGUAGUUGGUGGGGUAAAGGCUCACCAAGCCAACGAUCUGUAGCUGGUCUGAGAGGACGACCAGCCACACUGGGACUGAGACACGGCCCAGACUCCUACGGGAGGCAGCAGUGGGGAAUUUUGGACGAUGGGCGCAAGCCUGAUCCAGCAAUGCCGCGUGCAGGAAGAAGGCCUUCGGGUUGUAAACUGCUUUUGUACGGAACGAAACGGCUCUGGUUAAUACCCGGGGCUAAUGACGGUACCGUAAGAAUAAGCACCGGCUAACUACGUG
rnacentral:rRNA from 1 species